rnacentral:rRNA from 1 species
AACGAACGCUGGCGGCAGGCUUAACACAUGCAAGUCGAGCGCCCCGCAAGGGGAGAGGCAGACGGGUGAGUAACGCGUGGGAACGUACCUUUUGGUUCGGAACAACUCCGGGAAACUGGAGCUAAUACCGGAUAAGCCCUAACGGGGAAAGAUUUAUCGCCGAAAGAUCGGCCCGCGUCUGAUUAGCUAGUUGGUGAGGUAACGGCUCACCAAGGCGACGAUCAGUAGCUGGUCUGAGAGGAUGAUCAGCCACACUGGGACUGAGACACGGCCCAGACUCCUACGGGAGGCAGCAGUGGGGAAUAUUGGACAAUGGGCGCAAGCCUGAUCCAGCCAUGCCGCGUGAGUGAUGAAGGCCUUAGGGUUGUAAAGCUCUUUUGUCCGGGAAGAUAAUGACUGUACCGGAAGAAUAAGCCCCGGCUAACUUCGUG